UCCGGGUGGGGGCUGCUGUCGGAUCGCACUGUGACGCUGCGGGCGUCGGGGCGCCGGUUCGAGUCCGGCAGGCGGGU
rnacentral:tRNA from 1 species